rnacentral:lncRNA from 1 species
UUAAGCAGCAAAAUCUGGCAUCGAUGUCUCCACACUCAAGCCACAGGUAUGGAACCGUUUUAAACAUUUAUCAAAUUUAUAGUUUUUUUGUUCGAUAAUAGCAAUCAGUCUUAUAUAUUUUGUAUUCAAUUUUGCAGGCAUUGAAAGCUAAUUGAGGGAAAAUAGUGGAGAAAUUCAAUUUAUUUAAUAGAGCGGUUAGUUAAUUCGCUGUAACAUUUAUUCAGCAAACUGAGUGUUCUGUUUUCACUUGCAUCUUCUAAUUUCUAAGUUUCUAUAUGUUUGCUCUCGUCCUCAUCCUUAAGGAUUUUAAACUUGGAGCAAUUGUUCAACUGCAAUUGUAUAUGGGAAUGGGAUUUUAUUUAAAACUAUUUGACAUUUCAUUGUACUAUUGAAGGAUGUUAGGAUGGCUUUCCUCUGUUUUCCUUCGUAAAAGGAAGUGGAGGAGCCAAAUAUGUUAUUUAUCCAGCCUUCUACAUUCAUUCAGCUUUGAGAACCAUGAAAUGUGCAGGGUCUUGGUUAAGGAGGCGCACCUUCGAGUGGCAAAAUUCCAUGGUGCCGGUGGACAUCUAACGAGGACAAUACCAACUUAUGGGCACGAUACAGGGUGGUGACAAAAGGAAUGGAGUGUUAAGUUAAUUUUAUAUUGCUUUUAGUAUCAUUUGUUACUAUCUACAAUACAAGAUGUUUCCAAUUUCAUCAGUGUCUCCACACUUUGUCUACAUUUCAUGAUAGUGCAUCACAAAUAAAAAGUUCAGCCUCUCAUAAGUCUCCAUUGAUGAUUUAUAGUAUGCUAGGAUAUUAAUGCAGUAUUGUUUUUGACAUUUUAAGAUUGAAAAAAAAUGUUCGUCAUUGAUGACCAUUUAGAACCUUCCUCAAAGUUUGUGGAUAAUUAUUGUGGCGAGAUAUUUUAUUUUAUGAUGUAAGCCCAUUGAAAUCUCCAUUCUUUAAUAAUGAAUUUCAUUUUUGGUUUUACUUGUGGAUGUAGGGAAUAUCCCCGAACCACAAUCACAUA